rnacentral:rRNA from 1 species
AACAGCCAUCCGUGGCACCCGGGGGAAGACUAUUGGCGAACGGGUGCGUACACGUGAGGAACUGCCCCGGAGACGGGAUAACCCCCCGAAAGGGGAGCUAAUACCGGAUGUCCCCCUCGCAUCGCAUGGUGCGACGAGGAAAUGGAUUCCGCUCCGGGAUGGCCUCGCGGCCCAUCAGCUUGUUGGUGAGGUAAUGGCUCACCAAUGCAGCGACGGGUAGCUGGUCUGAGAUGACGAUCAGCCACACUGGGACUGAUACACGGCCCAUACUCCUACGGGAGGCAGCAGUUAGGAAUCUUGCGCAAUGGGCGAAAGCCUGACGCAGCAACGCCGCGUGGGGGAUGACGGUCUUCGGAUUGUAAACCCCUUUCAGCAGGGACGAAAUUGACGGUACCUGCAUAAGAAGCCCCGGCUAACUACGUGCCAUCAGCCGCGGUAAC